AUUGAACGCUGGCGGCAGGCUUAACACAUGCAAGUCGAACGAGCGGCGGACGGGUGAGUAAUGUAUGGGGAUCUGCCCGUUGGAGGGGGAUAACUACUGGAAACGGUCGCUAAUACCGCAUACUAUCGGAUGAACCCAUAUGGGAUUAGCUAGUAGGUGGGGUAAAGGCUCACCUAGGCGACGAUCUCUAGCUGGUCUGAGAGGAUGACCAGCCACACGGGGACGGAGACACGGCCCAGACGCCUACGGGAGGCAGCAGUGGGGAAUAUUGCACAAUGGGCGCAAGCCUGAUGCAGCCAUGCCGCGUGUGUGAAGAAGGCCUUCGGGUUGUAAAGUACUUUCAGUCGGGAGGCGUUACCGGCAGAAGAAGCACCGGCUAACUCCGUGCCAGCAGCCGCGGUAAUAC
rnacentral:rRNA from 1 species